GACGAACCGUGCGAACGUUGUUCGGAAUCACUGGGCUUAAAGGGCGCGUAGGCGGGCCGCCAAGUCCGCGGUGAAAUCCCCCGGCUCAACCGGGGAACUGCCGCGGAUACUGGAGGUCUCGAGGGGGGUAGGGGCAUGCGGAACUGCGGGUGGAGCGGUGAAAUGCGUUGAUAUCCGCAGGAACUCCGGUGGCGAAGGCGGCGUGCUGGACCCCUUCUGACGCUGAGGCGCGAAAGCCAGGGGAGCGGAACGGG
rnacentral:rRNA from 1 species